rnacentral:rRNA from 1 species
GAUGAACGCUAGCGACAGGCUUAACACAUGCAAGUCGAGGGGCAGCAUAAAAGUAGCAAUACUUUGGUGGCGACCGGCGCACGGGUGAGUAACGCGUAUGCAACCUACCUAUCAGAGGGGGAUAACCCGGCGAAAGUCGGACUAAUACCGCAUAAAACAGGGGCACCGCAUGGUGAUAUUUGUUAAAAAUUUAUUGCUGAUAGAUGGGCAUGCGUUCCAUUAGGUAGUUGGAGAGGUAACGGCUCACCAAGCCCACGAUGGAUAGGGGAACUGAGAGGUUGGUCCCCCACACUGGUACUGAGACACGGACCAGACUCCUACGGGAGGCAGCAGUGAGGAAUAUUGGUCAAUGGGCGAGAGCCUGAUCCAGCCAUGCCGCGCGAGUGAAGAAGGCCCUCGGGUUGUAAAGCUCUUUCGCCCGCGAAGAUAAUGACUGUAGCGGGAGAAGAAGCCCCGGCUAACUUCGUG